AGCAGCCGCGGUAAUUCCAGCUCCAAUAGCGUAUAUUAAAGUUGUUGCAGUUAAAAAGCUCGUAGUUGAAUUUCGGGACUAAUAUGUCGGUCGUACUUUGUACGUACUAGCAUUAUUGGUUUCUCCCUUCUGACGAACCACGAUGUCAUUAAUUUGGUGUCAUGGGAAAUCAGGACUGUUACUUUGAAAAAAUUAGAGUGUUUAAAGCAAGCUCGCGCUUGAAUACAUUAGCAUGGAAUAAUGAAAUAGGACGUUUGAUUCUAUUUUGUUGGUUUCUAGGAUCGACGUAAUGAUUAAUAGGGAUAGUUGGGGGCAUUAGUAUUCAAUUGUCAGAGGUGAAAUUCUUGGAUUUAUUGAAGACUAACUACUGCGAAAGCAUUUGCCAAGGAUGUUUUCAUUAAUCAAGAACGAAAGUUAGGGGAUCGAAGACGAUCAGAUACCGUCGUAGUCUUAACCAUAAACUAUGCCGACUAGGGAUCGGAUGAUGUUAAUUUUUUAAUGACUCAUUCGGCGCCUUACG
rnacentral:rRNA from 1 species